rnacentral:rRNA from 1 species
AACUAACGCUGGCGGCGUGCCUAACACAUGCAAGUCGAACGGUUCUAAAUGAAUAAAAAAGGUUCGCCUUUUUUAUUUUCUAGGAUAGUGGCGCACGGGUGAGUAACACGUAGAUAACCUGUCCUUAAGACCGGCAUAACCUCUCGAAAGGGGGGCUAAUACGGGAUAUGACUACGAUACGGCAUCGUAUUGUGGUAAAAGGAGAAGCUUAAGUUUCUUGCUAUCGCUUAAGGAGGGGGCUGCGACCUAUUAGCUAGUUGGUAGGGUAAUGGCCUACCAAGGUUAUGAUGGGUAGCCGGCCUGAGAGGGUGUCCGGCCACACUGGAACUGGGACACGGUCCAGACUCCUNACGGGAGGCAGCAGUGAGGAAUUUUGCGCAAUGGGCGAAAGCCUGACGCAGCGACGCCGCGUGGAGGAUGAAGGCUUUCGGGUUGUAAACUCCUGUCAGAGGUGAAGAAAACCCCCUUAGGGGGGCUUGACGGUAACCUCAGAGAAGCCCCGCUAACUA